rnacentral:rRNA from 1 species
AGUGAACGCUGGCGGUAGGCCUAACACAUGCAAGUCGAACGGCAGCACAGUAAGAGCUUGCUCUUACGGGUGGCGAGUGGCGGACGGGUGAGGAAUACAUCGGAAUCUACUUUUUCGUGGGGGAGAACGUAGGGAAACUUACGCUAAUACCGCAUACGACCUACGGGUGAAAGCAUGGGAUCUUCGGACCUUGCGCGAUUGAAUGAGCCGAUGUCGGAUUAGCGAGUUGGCGGGGUAAAGGCCCACCAAGGCGACGAUCCGUAGCUGGUCUGAGAGGAUGAUCAGCCACACUGGAACUGAGACACGGUCCAGACUCCUACGGGAGGCAGCAGUGGGGAAUAUUGGACAAUGGGCGCAAGCCUGAUCCAGCCAUACCGCGUGGGUGAAGAAGGCCUUCGGGUUGUAAAGCCCUUUUGUUGGGAAAGAAAAGCAGCAGGUUAAUACCCCGCUGUUCUGACGGUACCCAAAGAAUAAGCACCGGCUAACUUCGUG